rnacentral:lncRNA from 1 species
GUAGUAACAGCAGUAGUAACAGAAGUAAUACCACAGUUACAUUCCCUAUCUCAGACAUAAAUAAUAACACAAACAAAGAUAUCAACACUGGUCUUAAUACAACGAUCGAUAAUAAUAUACAUAAGAAAAAUGCAACAGACUUUACCUAUUCUUAUGAAAAAAAAUGUCAACAUAUCGAAUUAUUGUGCGAUAUACUUUUAAAUAUUAGCCAUUUUAACAUAAGUAAAAAUCAUAAAAAAAUAAAAAACUUAUACGAAUGUAUUAACAAAUUAUUAACAAUUCCUAUUUUUUUAAAUAGUCCUGUUAAUAAUAUGGUGAAUUUAUUAAUGUGUUCAUCCAACAUAUAUUUCAAAACAAAUGAUAAUUAUAUUUUUAAUAUAUAUAUUAAAAUAUUACAAAUAUUACACACAAAAAAAACAGAAAUAAAUGGACAUCAUUUUAAUAAGCUAGCCAUAGCUAUAACUCCAAUUCUUAAUGAAGAAAAUAAAAUAAUAAAAAAAUAUUCUGAACUGUUAAUAUUUUUUGUUAAAAAUUCUAUUGUUCCUUUAAGGUCAUGCAUUUUUUUAUUACAAAAUAUUAUGAAAAAUGUAAACAUAAAAUUAAAUAAUGAAUUAUGCAUAUUACAAUUAACUAUUAUUAACAGAAUAAAAGAAUAUUUUGAUCAUUUAUUUUUUUAUUUUAAAUCACAACAUGAAACAGGGUAUGAUAUAAUUCCUUCUAUCAAACCUGAACAAAACAACAACAUGUAUGAUCAUAUAGAACAUGACCAUUUCAGAAAAUUUAUAUUAUUACAUUCAAUAAAUGGAAACACCUUAAUAUGUAUAAUAACUAGCUUAUCAAAUAUAAUACAACAAACUGAAUAUGGUUCAAAAAUAAAAAAAGAUGCCCUUACAUUAUUACAAACUAUGCUCAAUUACAUUCCAAUAAAAUAUUUUGAUAAAUACCCUAAAAAGUUUAUUCAUUCAGAAUUUCUACAAGCUCUUUCACCUCAGCAUGAACAGCUUAAGAAGGUACUUACAAGUAAAAUGUAGAAUUUGUAUAUAUAUCUAAAACAUGG